rnacentral:rRNA from 1 species
UACAGAGGUGGCAAGCGUUGUUCGGAAUUACUGGGCGUAAAGGGCGCGUAGGCGGUCUUUUAAGUUCCGUGUGAAAUCCCUCGGCUCAACUGGGGAACUGCACGGGAAACUGGAAGGCUUGAGUUCGGGAGAGGGAAGCGGAAUUCCGGGUGUAGCGGUGAAAUGCGUAGAUAUCUGGAGGAAUACCGGUGGCGAAGGCGGCAUCCUGGACCAUUACUGACGCUGAGGCGCGAAAGCUAGGGGAGCAAACGGG